CCUACGGGAGGCAGCAGUAGGGAAUCUUCCGCAAUGGGCGAAAGCCUGACGGAGCAAUGCCGCGUGAGUGAUGAAGGUUUUCGGAUCGUAAAGCUCUGUUGCCAGGGAAGAACGCUUGGGAGAGUAACUGCUCUCAAGGUGACGGUACCUGAGAAGAAAGCCCCGGCUAACUACGUGCCAGCAGCCGCGGUAAUACGUAGGGGGCAAGCGUUGUCCGGAAUUAUUGGGCGUAAAGCGCGCGCAGGCGGUCAUGUAAGUCUGGUGUUUAAUCCCGGGGCUCAACCCCGGAUCGCACUGGAAACUGCGUGACUUGAGUGCAGAAGAGGAGAGUGGAAUUCCACGUGUAGCGGUGAAAUGCGUAGAGAUGUGGAGGAACACCAGUGGCGAAGGCGACUCUCUGGGCUGUAACUGACGCUGAGGCGCGAAAGCGUGGGGAGCAAACAGGAUUAGAUACCCCUGUAGUC
rnacentral:rRNA from 1 species